rnacentral:rRNA from 1 species
AACGAACGCUGGCGGCAUGCCUAACACAUGCAAGUCGAACGAGACCUUCGGGUCUAGUGGCGCACGGGUGCGUAACGCGUGGGAACCUGCCCUUAGGUUCGGAAUACCUCCCCGAAAGGGGUGCUAAUACCGGAUAAUGUCUUCGGACCAAAGAUUUAUCGCCUUUGGAUGGGCCCGCGUUGGAUUAGCUAGUUGGUAGGGUAAAAGCCUACCAAGGCGACGAUCCAUAGCUGGUCUGAGAGGAUGAUCAGCCACACUGGGACUGAGACACGGCCCAGACUCCUACGGGAGGCAGCAGUGGGGAAUAUUGGACAAUGGGCGAAAGCCUGAUCCAGCAAUGCCGCGUGAGUGAUGAAGGCCUUAGGGUUGUAAAGCUCUUUUACCCGGGAUGAUAAUGACGGUACCGGGAGAAUAAGCUCCGGCUAACUCCGUG